GGGGGUGGGGGGUCACCAGGAAUAGUUCAGAUAUCGCUCGCCACCGAUAGCUAUAGCCAGGAAUCAAACUAAGGUCACCAAGUUCAUAGGAGAGUGUAAUAACCACUACGCAUCCACUCCGCUCUGACCCCCGCAACAUUGGCCAUGAAACCACAACCAAACGAUCCCUUUCUCUCGCACGUGACAUCACAGGUUUCUUAACAUCCGUGUUACAAAAGACUGCACUCGUUAGUAAUGCCCCUUAACACGACUGGGUGGUUGUGGAAAUUAAACUGUCAGUGUUGAGAAAACUGGCUCAGUUGCGAGCGCAGUGAUCACUAAGGUGACCGGGGCUGUGUAAGCCACCUAUACUGAUGCCAUGUGUAAGACGUUCAUUUUUCUGCAAUGGCAUCAUUCUAAAUAGGCUAUUUUCUGCAAUGGCAUCAUUCUAAAUAGGCUAUUACAUUUUUCCAACCGUUACAGAAAUAAUUGUCUGCCACUAAUUUACCAAGAGGCCUCGUGUCCUAGAUAGCCGAUACAUAUUAAUCAUUACGGCGAUACCCCAAUUUGACACUUUAAACCUCAAUGUAGCCUUAGAGGAGUUUUUAUUUUUCACUAUCACGAGUAUGGGAACAUAGGAGAAGCGGGAGGGGGGGGGCGAGUUUACCACCCCAACAUCUAGACAGGGGUGGCAGAAAGUCAUAUUCUGUGCUACCCCGUCACCCCCCAUGUCUCCUUGUGCCCCUUGGCCACUUGACAUGGGCCCCACUUGACCUCCCCCCCCCCCUCGCCCACCGCGCCCCCAGGCCUCGAAAUCUUCCCUGCGUGCCCUAAUCACCUAAUCAGCCUGGGUGGCUCAGACGCCGUUGUCUCGGCAUCACAAUGAGCGAAGCCCGUUGUUGUCGUCAACCUCGGGGGUGCGCAGACGUGUCCGCACGCAGUCAAAUUAACUGUUGCAAUAAAGACCGGUGCCCCGCAGUGAAGUCGGACGACAUCUGCUCCGUGUCUCUUUCCCCUUCCCUUUAAUGUUGGCGCGAGGCCGCGUUAACCUUUCGUGUUACUUUCGCGAGUAACGUAAACUUUCCGCACUCGCGGGCACAUGUGGAUCAACUUGUGCCGCCUCUGCGCCGAUCACAGUUCGUUUAUGCCGUCAGCCUGCACACGUCGCUACGUUCGCUACUUUAAAGGCAAAGCCUCUUGUCAAAACAUUUCACACAUUCGAAAGCUUUUGUGAAAUUAAGCCUAGAAUUGUUAUUUUUAAGAGUGCGAUCUAUUGGAGCAAUGUUCGGCGGUGUCCAUAUCGUACUUUUCUGGGGUGCAUUAAUGUUUGCCGGCAACAUGCACCUCGGUGUUCUGCUUGAACGCCAGAGGAGAAUCCUCGAUUUGACACAGGCUGCAAAUUCUGAGGCCAACAUUUUCUGGUAUUUAAAUGCAACAGAGGCGUAAGUGGGUAAAAUUAUCCAUUACUGGAAACCAUUAGCCUCUCGUUAACCCCAACACACAAGCGGGUCUUUUGUGAGGAGCGAGGGCCUCGCUCACAGAGCAUGGACACUGAAGCCGUCUUGCUCACCGCAGCAGCAGCCUCCUCACCCCUGCCCUGGUGGUGUUCCAUCCUCACCCCCGGGACACUCGCCAUGCUCUCGAUUAUUAACGGAACCAGACUCUCUGCGCCGUGACUGAUACAUGCAUCCCCUUGGUGUGCCUGUAAUGGGAAAUUAAAGAUUGCUGUAAUUAAUUGUUAUAUGGGAGAGACUCACCAUCACCAUAUGAAUCUGGAAUUCUCACUGCUAGCCUUGCACGCUUAUUUAUUGUUUUAAUUGAUUAACGUAAUUUACCCAGGUUGUGUAACAUUUAUCAUCGUCAUCAUCACCUUCAGCCAGGGUUUACCCAUUGCAAGCUGAAGGGCCAUUCCAUGCCAUUGAUAUCCCUCAUGGUCCUGUGGUGCCACAAUCAAUCUCCUGCAUAUAAACUGAUCUCAUCACUCCAUUUCAAUUGCAGUCAUUCUCUCAGAUGUGUUUUCUCCUUUGGCUACCAUUUUGUCACCAGUCUCAUCCAUCUCACAUCAUCUCUUCCAGUGAUGUGACCUGCCCAUGCCUCGUUACUUUUCUCAACUGCCAAACUGUCUCUCUGAGAAAGAAAAAACAAAAAUCCCUUGAUUCGCGUGUAAAAUUUCGCCUCUCUCUCAGUGUAAUCAUUUGCAUAUGUUUCAGAUGUUUUAAUGUGUCCAUGUCCAUUUAUUCUGAUUCACUUUCCAGAAUUAUCCAACGAUUAAAACCUUUCUUCAUCUUGGUCACCGGUUCACCGCUCUCAAUUUCCAUAAAAUGUCACUGCCAACAAAAUACGUUUCUCAUUGGAAUAUGUACACAAUACCUUGCCUUCCGAAGCUGGUUCUCGCUGCACCCACACAGCCACCCAUGUCGGACGACGUUCCACCCCGUGACGCAGCAACGCACCAAAGGGGGCAAGGUGAGGGGGGGGGAGGGUCUUUCUCAAGGCAUCGUUUCCCACCGAGGCCUUGGGAAACUCUUGCUUUCUACCCAGUACAUUUUAAGCAAAGCUCUUGGGGAUAGCCUGAAGGGGAGCAUGGCACCCACAUCCAGUUGGACGUUGCCAGAACAGGAUCAGACAUUUCUUCUCUACUGAUGGAACUGGCUGCCAAGGCCCCAAAGCACACAAUGGCCCUGAGCACACAAAGAGAGUGUAUUUGGCUCAUUAAUCUGAGCCUGCUUUGAAUCUGCCGCCUGCAGUGUGCCUGGUCAGUUUAAUAUGCAGUAAAGGCCCUGUCCACAGUGAUAUCUGUCUGGUUCACGUGCCCUGUGGUAGCAGCUGCACUUCGUCUCACGUGAAGGUCCCAUUGCCCAACUUAUCUGUUAAAUGUGUGGAUUUCGCAGAAGGCAUUUGGCAAACAUUGUCAUCGUCAUUAGUCUGUGUGUGGAGUGCGAGUCGUGUAUCUCGAGUAUUAGCACAUGAGUUUCGACAUUGAUGACUUCAGUUCUCAAGGUUUUUUUGAUAAGAUGAGAAACGUUUUGCAAUACGUCUCAAUAAGAAAACACUGCCUCUCUACCAAGCAAAUGCAUUGUAACAAUGAUGCGAAACAUCUUACCUCUGCAAAACGUUACAUUUCCAAGUGCAAGCUAUCUAUGCUUGCACUGAUUUUUUUCAUAACCACUGAAGCCCAUUAUUAUGUUGUGCUGUCUAUCCUAUUUUUCAUGGCAUGAAGCCGUAUAGCUUCACCUGUGCACUAUGAAAUUAUGAAUUUCAGCUUAGAUUUAUGGAAAGGUGUUUGCACAUCAUACAAGGAUCCCCCGUAUAUCUUUAACAGACUGUAGGGUCAAGU